CACUAGCAUCCUCGAGUGGUAGUCGCGAUUAUUUGGCUUAAAGCGUCCGUAGUCUGGCCGCUUAGUCCUCUGUGAAAUCCUGCGGCUUAACCGUAGGGCUUGCAGAGGAUACUGGCGGCCUUGGAGCCGGGAGAGGUCGGGGGUAUUCCUGGGGUAGCGGCGAAAUGCUAUAAUCCUGGGAGGACCACCGAUAGCGAAGGCACCCGACUAGAACGGGCUCGACGAUGAGGGACGAGAGCUAGGGGAGCAAACCGGAUUAGAUACCCGGGUAGUCCUAGCCGUAAACGAUGCGGGCUGAGUGUCUCCUGAACCUCGAGUUCAGGAGGUGCUGAAGGGAAACCGUUAAGCCUGCCGCCUGGGGAGUACGGUCGCAAGGCUGAAACUUAA
rnacentral:rRNA from 1 species